GCCAUCUGCAAGAGGAGAGAAAUUCGUAUUUUUCGUAAAAUGUUGUAAUUAAACAAUUGCACUUAUCCGGCAGGACAAGUACUACAGCAAGUUUGAGUCACUCCGAGCCAAUUUCUACUCGUAUUUGCGAGCGGACGAGUGGAUUUGCUGAACCCUGUUUUGGAGAAAUGGAUGUGUAAUGUUAUGGCAUGUGAAUCUUUCAGCCUGUCUGUCUUUCUGUCCAUCAUUUUCCUGCCUGGAGCAUAACUCAGUUACCAUUCAAGGCACAAAAACAAGUGUAUUUACUGUAUAAAGGGAAGUGUAGAAAAACUGCUGAACACCUGUCACCAAGACCUUUAGCCCAAAGGUCAAGGUCGCACAGGUGUAUAAUGUUUGCUGUAGAAAAACUGCUCAUGGUUAGUGAUAUGAUGACUGGCCAGAAACCUGCAAAGAUUUGGGUGAUUCUGACAGCUUGGGCAGUCACCAGCUUACUGUUGCAGUUAAAACACCAGAAUAUUAUGAGAGCGUUUGGAUACAGAGAUAUGUUAGAGAUUUCCAGUUAACAUCUUUAAGCAUUAGGGUGACACUUCUUGUUUAACCCAAAAUUUGCAUACAUAUUGAGCUGCUGAUCAUUGUACUCAUUCAGUUUCAUGUGUGCGGGACUUUUACCAUGGAUGCCAAAUGGUGUAACACUUAUUCAAAUUGUAGAUGGACAUUUUAACUUGACACAGAUAGUUACAGACACCACCACAGGAGGAAACACCCUGGAUCUAUUUUCAACUUCAAAACAAAAACCAAAGUUGCGGGACAUGGCAGCAGUGCCAUUGGGCAGUACCAGUUCUUUAAGUUUGGCUCCAUCCCUGGGUUCCAGCUGUGAGAGUAUCAAUGUAGAAGACAUAAGCCCAGGUCAGUUAGGCUCCCAGGCUCAGUUACUAGCAGGAACAGCAGCUCCAGCUGUCAGAGUCUCGGCAAGACAGUCUUCUGUGUCAAGUGAAACAGCAGGCGUGACACAGUCCUUGCCCCCUGCCCAGUUACAGCUUCUUCAGCAAGCUGCUGCAGCACAAGCAGCCCAUGUGAAAGCCCAGGCUCAGGCACAAGCUACAGGUAAAGGACAAGGAAAAGCGCAAGGUGUGUCCCCAAAAUUAGAUCUGGCAAACAAAGUACAAAACGUUACUAUCAACCAGCAAGGUCAAGUGAAGGUCAUCCCUCAGACAACCUCUAUAGCAUCUGUUGUCAAGGGAACAGCUCCACCUAAUGUCACUAUUCAGACAAAACCAGAAUUACAGGUGUUGAAUCUGGAAAUAGAAGUAAUGUGAAAAGACCACGCGAAACAGCAAAGUGCUCAUCUACUACAUAACAGAAAGCUUGACAACCAGCUUGAAAGUGACUACGUUCAUCCAGUCUCAGGUUCCUGAAACUAAUCGAGCAUACCAGCCUGAAUUCAGCAGUCUGAGAACCAGCCAGAAAUAAAUUCAGCAUUUGCGAGAGUGGCUGACAUACCUACUGUUGCUUCUCCAUCCCCUUGUUUCGGCAUAUAUAGUGGAAAUGUGAGUAGUAAUGAGGUGGCAGAAUCACUACAGUACAGGCCAUGAACUUCAGAGAUGAAGAGUACAACGUGUAUGAGGGAAACAGUAAUGGCAGCUGUAGAAAACAUAAUAAAAGGGUCAUGUGUAGUUAUAAUCAUUUUCACUUAAUCAAGCUGCACUUAAAGUUAUAGAAGAGCUGAAUAAUAUGUAAAAAUAUAUAUAAAGAAAAUAUACAGCUUUUUUCGUGUAUGUGCGUGCGUCCAUCUGCACAUGGGUACAUGCAUCUGUCCAGAUUAAUUUUGUUUGUCCUGACCAUAACUUUCAGGGUUGCCAGCAGUCUUGAAAAGUCAGGGAAACUGGUUUCUUUUUCAAGGUUAGGGAAUUGUCAGGGAAUUUUAAAAUUUGGUCAGUGAAAAAUGAAAAUCCUGGAAAGUCAGGAAAAAGUCGGGGAAAAACGAUUUCAAAGCUCGAAGAAGUUAAUCAUUUUAAACUUUUGUGGCUAUGGCAGUCUUCAAGCAUUAAAUUUAAGUAAUUAAAAACAAAGUUUAAUGAUGUAAUACUGUAACAUGCAUUUGAUUUGUUUAAAUCCCCCAUUUUUCUUUAAACACUGAUUUUGCUUGAAGACUGAAAGGCUUUGCAACCCUUGCCCCAGAGCUAACUAACAUUUUUUUGUUAUUUUGUAGGAAAGUGACACAUGAAGACAGCCUACAACUAACAUUAUUCUAAUACACUUUUUUUGUUGUAGGUACUCCAGGUGUUUUCUGGACACUGUAUAUUAAGAGAUCUUGGAUUUUGAGAGUGAUGUUUUGUCAAUAUGAUUCCAGUGGUCUUGCUGUUAGUCAUGGUGUUUUAUUGUUUUUGUCUCUAGGAAACUGUAUAAUAACAGAUCUUGGAUUUUGAGAAUGAUAUUUUGCUAAUACUAGCAGGGUUCCAAUGGUCUUUUUAUUAACCAUACUUAAUUGUUUUUACCAUGAGGAAAGUGUACCUUAAAAGAUGUUAGAUUUUUGAUAGUUACAUGUCUUGCAAAGAUGCUUUUGAUACGUAUCUCUUAAUAAUUAGGUUUCACUGACCAAUAGUCACAAUUAUGUUUCAUUGACUUGACCACCAA
rnacentral:misc_RNA from 1 species